rnacentral:rRNA from 1 species
GCGCAAGGGUGUGUAACACGUGGGUAAUCUGCCGUGAAGUCUGGAAUAACUUGCUGAAAGGCGAGCUAAUACCGGAUGUGAACGCAAGUUCAAAGUUGGGGACCGUAAGGCCUGACGCUUC